GUGCCAGCAGCCGCGGUAAUUCCAGCUCUAAUAGCGUAUAUUAAAGUUGUUGCAGUUAAAAAGCUCGUAGUUGGAUUUUGGUGUCGGACAGGCGGUCGGCUUUUGUCGUACUGCCCUUCUGACGCCUUCCUUCUGUGGACUGCGUCACUCUUAACUGAGGGGCGUGUGGACGCAGAUCGUUUACUGUGAGUAAAUUAGAGUGUUCAAAGCAGGCCUUACGCUUGAAUACAUUAGCAUGGAAUAAUAGAAUAGGACGUCGGGCCUAUUUUGUUGGUUUAGGGACCGUCGUAAUGAUUAAUAGGGACAGUUGGGGCCGUUCAUAUUCCGUAGUCAGAGGUGAAAUUCUUGGAUUUACGGAAGAUGAACUACUGCGAAAGCAUUCGGCAAGGAUGUUUUCGUUAAUCAAGAGCGAAAGUUAGGGGAUCGAAGACGAUCAGAUACCGCCGUAGUCUUAACCAUAAACUAUGCCGACUCGGGAUCAGCAAGUGUCGUUCACGACCUCGCUGGCACCGUGUGAGAAAUCAAAGUCUUUGGGUUCCGGGGGGAGUAUGGUCGCAAGGCUGAAACUUAAAGGAAUUGACGGAAGGGCACCACCAGGAGUGGAGCCUGCGGCUUAAUUUGACUCAACACGGGGAAACUCACCAGGUCCAGACAUAGCGAGGAUUGACAGAUUGACAGCUCUUUCUUGAUUCUAUGGGUGGUGGUGCAUGGCCGUUCUUAGUUGGUGGAGUGAUUUGUCUGGUUAAUUCCGAUAACGAACGAGACCUCAGCCUACUAAAUAGUAACGCCUGCUUCGGCAGGUGGAUUACUUCUUAGAGGGACUUUUCGAGUCAUCGAAAGGAAGUUUGAGGCAAUAACAGGUCUGUGAUGCCCA
rnacentral:rRNA from 1 species